rnacentral:rRNA from 1 species
AACGAACGCUGGCGGCAUGCCUAACACAUGCAAGUCGAACGAGCCCUUCAGGGUUAGUGGCGCACGGGUGCGUAACGCGUGGGAAUCUGCCCUUGGGUUCGGAAUAACAGUGAGAAAUUACUGCUAAUACCGGAUGAUGUCUUCGGACCAAAGAUUUAUCGCCCAAGGAUGAGCCCGCGUAGGAUUAGCUAGUUGGUGGGGUAAUGGCCUACCAAGGCGACGAUCCUUAGCUGGUCUGAGAGGAUGAUCAGCCACACUGGGACUGAGACACGGCCCAGACUCCUACGGGAGGCAGCAGUGGGGAAUAUUGGACAAUGGGCGAAAGCCUGAUCCAGCAAUGCCGCGUGAGUGAUGAAGGCCUUAGGGUUGUAAAGCUCUUUUACCCGGGAUGAUAAUGACAGUACCGGGAGAAUAAGCUCCGGCUAACUCCGUG